AAGUUUGAUUAGAAAAUCGUUCUUAGAAAAUAACAUCAACCACAAAAGUGUACAUUUAAUUAACUCACAUAGCAAAUAUAAAAUUGGAGAAAAAUUUUAGCAUUUAUUAUUAUUGUCUUUUAUACCAUUGGAUGUCUUCGCAAAUUCAAAUGGGCAUAUCUCAUAUUUACGGUGCUACACUUUGUUUUUAUCGUGUUCGAAUGUGCUUGACAAUACCACAAAUUAAUAUAAAAAUAGCUAUAACAUUAAACGAUAAACAAUUAAGCGAUAUAUUUCUGUGCUCUCUAACGCAUAAAAAAAGUGAAAAAAAGGAAAGGUCCCUCUUGUUUUACGCCGCAUAUGAAUAAUGAAUAUUGUACAAUCACUUUAAAGGAAACUGGAUUUUCCGCUAAAUAAAGCCAAAUUGAGGAGACAUCAUUAAUAGUGUGUCGUUGCAUCGCUUUAUACCGCGCACACAUAUAAGGCAGAAUUUUCGUUGCGCUUAUUUCUCCUUUCAUCGCAUCAGUCAUACUCCAUAUUUUGAUGACGCCUGAGAUCAAGAAUAUGUGUAUUUGUAUACGUAAUAGCAUUCAUAUGAACAUGGAACACUAACGAUGAGGUUUUAACACACAUAACGCGUAAUAGCUUCUUUUCGUAACGGUGAACAAGUUGAUUUGUUUUCAGAUCGCAUUUAUUUAUGUUUUUAUAUCUGUUGUUAGUUUUGUAUAUUGUUGUACAUUUGACGCAACCAAACAAUAAUCGUAAUUUUCUCAGCAAUUCAGCUGUCUGUAACACAUCUUAUUCGAGAAAAUGCUGGAUAAUAUGUUCUUUUGCAAAUUUUCCUUUCUCAAACGCUCAGAAAAAUACGUAAAGUUCUGCUUAAAUAUAUUACACUUGAAUCAAUUAUUCGUUCUAUUUUAUUAGUAUUCCUAACAGUAUUUGCAAUAUAGCAACGAUUUUUACGAUAAGGCAUUUAGGCUUGUUAUUAGUACACUGCUAAAUCACCGCUUAUAAAUGCUUACAAACACCGAAGAACAUUAAUAACUGGAGAAAUCGCCGUCAGAGUUUGUGCUUUUAAUAAACGCAUUGAUCGCUACCGCAGUUACUUAGCAACUCUCCACGUUAACAAAAGUUUGCCAAAGCAUACUUCAAAGAUUAACAGCAUUUUACAGAGUUGUGUUUAUAUCUAAUAGUACAAAAUAAAACCACUGUUAUGAUUAAGGGAAACUUUCAACAUUUGUGGUCUUCCCAAAUAUUUAACCCAAAUAAACACACAAUAUUCUUUCCCAAGGACCUUAAAUGUUUUGCGGAGACUAAUGAAAUCAUAGAUAUCACUAUCCUUGUUGGCAAUCCAGCUACUAAUGGUCAGGCUGAAAAUGCAGUCAAUAUCGUUAAAGAUACCUUGAAGCACACCUAAAAAUAUGGUUUCAAUAUCGUUUAAUGUUGUUUCGUCGAAAGACUAUCGAAACACUCUUCAUUUAUUGAAAGCAUCAGCUUUAUAAAAAAUACUUAAGAAACAGGUUCGAUUUAAUUAACGUAUACAAAUAAGAACAGCAGAAUACAAAUAAAAAUAAAAAAUUUGUUCUAAAGCAACAAUGUAAGCCACGAAAAUAUUUUAUAUAA